rnacentral:rRNA from 1 species
CGGGUGAGUAAUGUCUGGGAAACUGCCUGAUGGAGGGGGAUAACUACUGGAAACGGUAGCUAAUACCGCAUAACGUCGCAAGACCAAAGAGGGGGACCUUCGGGCCUCUUGCCAUCGGAUGUGCCCAGAUGAGAUUAGCUAGUGGGUGGGGUAACGGCUCACCUAGGCGACGAUCCCUAGCUGGUCUGAGAGGAUGACCAGCCACACUGGAACUGAGACACGGUCCAG